GACGAACGCUGGCGGCGUGCUUAACACAUGCAAGUCGAACGCUGAAGCUCAGCUUUUGUUGGGUGGAUGAGUGGCGAACGGGUGAGUAACACGUGAGUAACCUGCCCCCUUCUUUGGGAUAACGCCCGGAAACGGGUGCUAAUACUGGAUAUUCACUGGUCUUCGCAUGGGGGUUGGUGGAAAGGGUUUUUCUGGUGGGGGAUGGGCUCGCGGCCUAUCAGCUUGUUGGUGGGGUGAUGGCCUACCAAGGCUUUGACGGGUAGCCGGCCUGAGAGGGUGACCGGUCACAUUGGGACUGAGAUACGGCCCAGACUCGUACGGGAGGCAGCAGUGGGGAAUAUUGCACAAUGGGCGCAAGCCUGAUGCAGCGACGCCGCGUGAGGGAUGGAGGCCUUCGGGUUGUGAACCUCUUUCGCUCAUGGUCAAGCCGCAACAAUGGUUGUGGUGAGGGUAGUGGGUAAAGAAGCGCCGGCUAACUACGUG
rnacentral:rRNA from 1 species